rnacentral:rRNA from 1 species
GACGAACGCUGGCGGCGUGCCUAAUACAUGCCAGUCGAACGGAAAGGCCCUGCUCUUGCGCGGUUCUCGAUUGGCGAACGCGUGAGUAACACGUGAGUAACCUGCCCUUGACUUUGUGAUAACUUCAGGAAACUGGGGCUAAUACCGGAUAGGAGCUCCUGCUGCAUGGUGGGGGUUGGAAAGUGUCGGCGGUUGGGGAUGGACUCGCAGCUUAUCAGCUUGUUGGUGAGGUAGUGGCUUACCAAGGCUUUGACGGGUAGCCGGCCUGGGAGGGUUACCAGGCUCAAUACGCCUAAGGUACGCACCAGAAUCGUACCUGCGGCAGCGGUGGGAAAUCUGACGGAGUAAGCGCACGUCAGAUACAGCGACGCUCCGUGCGGGAUACCCGCCUUCGAGUUAAGAACCACUUUCGACUGAGCUGAGCCGUGCUUGACGGUACUGGAUCAGAAAGCCACGGCUAACUACGUG